rnacentral:rRNA from 1 species
GUGGGGAAUUUUGGACAAUGGGCGCAAGCCUGAUCCAGCCAUGCCGCGUGCAGGAUGAAGGCCUUCGGGUUGUAAACUGCUUUUGUACGGAACGAAAAGACUCUGGUUAAUACCUGGGGUCCAUGACGGUACCGUAAGAAUAAGCACCGGCUAACUACGUGCCAGCAGCCGCGGUAAUACGUAGGGUGCGAGCGUUAAUCGGAAUUACUGGGCGUAAAGCGUGCGCAGGCGGUUAUGUAAGACAGAUGUGAAAUCCCCGGGCUCAACCUGGGAACUGCAUUUGUGACUGCAUAGCUAGAGUACGGCAGAGGGGGAUGGAAUUCCGCGUGUAGCAGUGAAAUGCGUAGAUAUGCGGAGGAACACCGAUGGCGAAGGCAAUCCCCUGGGCCUGUACUGACGCUCAUGCACGAAAGCGUGGGGAGCAAACAGGAUUAGAAACCCUUGUAGUCC